AUACGGAAGGUCCGGGCGUUAUCCGGAUUUAUUGGGUUUAAAGGGAGCGCAGGCGGAGAUGCAAGCGUGACGUCAAAUUUCGGGGCUCAACCCCGUCUCGCGUCGCGAACUGCGUCCCUUGGUUGCGGGAAGGGGAGGCGGAACUCGUGGUGUAGCGGUGAAAUGCAUAGAUAUCACGAAGAACUCCGAUCGCGAAGGCAGCCGUACGGCCCGUCAACGACGCUCAUGCUCGAAGGUGCGGGUAUCAAACAGGAUUAGAUACCCUGGUAGUCCGCACAGUAAACGAUGGACACCCGCGGUUUGGCCUGUAUGGCUGAGCCGCCAAGCGAAAGCGUUAAGUGUCCCACCUGGGGAGUACGCCGUCAACGGUGAAACUCAAAGGAAUUGGCGGGG
rnacentral:rRNA from 1 species